CCAAUGCUAACUACAGAUCAUUCAAGAACAACAUAUGAAUGAUGAAUAGGAGAAAAGCUGCUCUACAAAAGUUUUAUAAGAACAAAAAAGUUAUGACUGUGCUAUGUACAACUGCUCCUUGAACAAUAAACUACCUGUCACAAAAAAAUACUUAUAAAUAAUUAGAACACAAACAAGAUAUUACACAAAUAUUUCAAACUGCACUUCAUACAUAUGGAAUUGUCAAAUCUUCCCUCCCAGUCCGGAUCUCUCUCAGAUAAGAGAAACAAAUUUCCAAAAUGAAAAUAACACGUCUGACCCUGGGUUUACUCAGAAAUUGUUAGGUAUACUUCAAUUUCUAGAAACAUAAAUUAUUUUUAUCUGUAUCUCUAAUUGAUUGUGUGUUAAUGCUGUAUGCCACUGCCACUGGC
rnacentral:lncRNA from 1 species